rnacentral:rRNA from 1 species
AUUGAACGCUGGCGGCAUGCCUUACACAUGCAAGUCGAACGGCAGCAUGGGUGCUUGCACCUGAUGGCGAGUGGCGAACGGGUGAGUAAUGCAUCGGAACGUACCUUUCAGUGGGGGAUAACGUAGCGAAAGUUACGCUAAUACCGCAUAUUCUGUGAGCAGGAAAGCAGGGGAUCUUCGGACCUUGCGCUGAUGGGGCGGCCGAUGUCAGAUUAGCUAGUUGGUGGGGUAAAGGCCUACCAAGGCGACGAUCUGUAGCGGGUCUGAGAGGAGGAUCCGCAACACGGGGACUGAGACACGGCCCAGACUCCUACGGGAGGCAGCAGUGGGGAAUUUUGGACAAUGGGGGCAACCCUGAUCCAGCCAUGCCGCGUGAGUGAAGAAGGCCUUCGGGUUGUAAAGCUCUUUCGGACGGGAAGAAAUCGUGGUGGCUAAUAUCUGCCAUGGAUGACGGUACCGUAAUAAGAAGCACCGGCUAACUACGUGCCAGCCGCCGCAGUAA